rnacentral:siRNA from 1 species
CGAGCUCUUUUGGUGUUUCUC